UUCUUUGAGGAUUUAUUUAGAGUAAGGCCUGCCCACUGAAUUUUGAAGGGCCGCGGUAUAUUGACCGUGCUAAGGUAGCAUAAUCAUUAGUCUUUUAAUUAAGGAAUAGAAUGAAUGGCUAAACCUUGAAGUGUUGUUUUAUCAGUAAAAAUUAAAUUUUUAAUUUAAGUGAAAAUACUUAAGUAGAAAAAGGAGACGAUAAGACCCUUUAGAGCUUUAUUUUUUGUUUAACGGGGAUGUUAGAAGAAAGCUUAUUUUUGGUAAAAAAGUUUAAUUGGGGCAAUUUAAGAAUAAAUAAAACUUCUUGAGAUUUUUUUAUCUUAAUUUUUAAAAUUAAAAAGUUACCUAAGGGAUAACAGCGUAAUGAUUUUUAAGAGUUCAUAUCGACAAAAUUGUUUGCGACCUCGAUGUUGAAUUAAAAUUUCUUUUUAGGGCAGUAUUUAAAAAAGACAGUCUGUUCGACUAAUGAUUUUUU
rnacentral:rRNA from 1 species